GAGGAAUAUUGGACAAUGGAUGGAAAUCUGAUCCAGCCAUGCCGCGUGCAGGAAGACGGCCCUAUGGGUUGUAAACUGCUUUUGUAUGGGAGCAAUAAGGACUACGUGUAGUUUGAUGAGAGUACCAUACGAAUAAGCAUCGGCUAACUCCGUGCCAGCAGCCGCGGUAAUACGGAGGAUGCGAGCGUUAUCCGGAUUUAUUGGGUUUAAAGGGUGCGUAGGCGGCGAUAUAAGUCAGUGGUGAAAUAUUUCGGCUUAACCGAGAGACUGCCAUUGAUACUGUGUUGCUAGAAUAUGGUUGCUGUGAGUGGAAUGUGUGGUGUAGCGGUGAAAUGCUUAGAUAUCACACAGAAUAUCUAUUGCGAAGGCAGCUCACAAAGCCAUUAUUGACGCUGAGGCACGAAAGUGUGGGGAUCAAACA
rnacentral:rRNA from 1 species